rnacentral:rRNA from 1 species
GACGAACGCUGGCGGCGUGCUUAACACAUGCAAGUCGAACGGAAAGGCCCUGCUUUUGUGGGGUGCUCGAGUGGCGAGCGGGUGAGUAACACGUGAGUAACCUGCCCUUGACUUUGGGAUAACUUCAGGAAACUGGGGCUAAUACCGGAUAGGAGCUCCUGCUGCAUGGUGGGGGUUGGAAAGUUUCGGCGGUUGGGGAUGGACUCGCGGCUUAUCAGCUUGUUGGUGGGGUAGUGGCUUACCAAGGCUUUGACGGGUAGCCGGCCUGAGAGGGUGACCGGCCACAUUGGGCCUGCGAUACGGCCCAGACUCCUACGGGAGGCAGCAGUGGGGAAUAUUGCACAAUGGGCGGAAGCCUGAUGCAGCAACGCCGCGUGCGUGAUGACGGCCUUCGGGUUGUAAACCGCUUUCGCCUGUGACGAAGCGUGAGUGACGGUAAUGGGUAAAGAAGCACCGGCUAACUACGUG